ACUUCCCUUCAUCUAAGUUAGAGGGGACACAAGGCCAGCAAGAGAUUCUCAUUUUGCAAAUGAGCAAAGGAUGCUAACAAGCAAACGGUUAUUAUUAGUUGUCCAGUCCUGCUUUCUUCGUUCUGACCAAAUGUGAUGUCUUUUUAUUUCUGGUUGUUUUACUAUCCUGGAAUGCUAGUUUUUGUAGGAGUCCAUUAUUUGUGUAUAUCAUCAUCAUGAUGGAUCCCAGUGCUAUCAGAAAACCAAAACCAAAACUAUCAGAAUCCACUAGUGAUAGAAAGAGGAUCCUUGGCUGUGUGGGAGGCUGCCCCAUGUGGAACUAGCGGGGGAAAGGUAUUGCUGAAUACAGCUGAAUAGUCUUAAGUAGCUGAUGGACACAGAUGAAGGACCAAAGUCUAUCUUUCCCCCCUUUAAUUAUCCCAUUGCUUCUAGGAUACAGCUCCCAGGAACAUUAGAGAAAAAAUCUACUUCAGUUCCAGCCCCUCAGCAUUGAAAGGUGAUUCUAAUUGUUCCUACACAUUACUACAGGAAAGGAAUGCUUACAGCUCCUUUGGGAACGUCAAGAGGCAGCUUUUCAUUCAGAAUAAUGUACUUCUAAUGAAGAGCAUCUUCAGCUUGAAAUGCAUUGGGACUUACUGAAUGUGGUUGUAAUAAAUAAUUACUUCCUGAACCCAUUUUGAAUCAUCCUCACAUCCUUUUGGUUCAUAAUUAUAGUGUGAUUAGGCUGUGAUGAGAUGUUUAUUGUGUUGGACCAUGAGGAAAGUCUUUUAUAGACAGAAAUUGCAAUGUAUCUGGAGCAACAUUCCCACAC